CAGCCGCGGAAUUCCAGCUCCAAUAGCGUAUAUUAAAGUUGUUGCAGUUAAAAAGCUCGUAGUUGAAUUUCGGGAUUGGCGCAUCGGUCGUGCCUCACGGGGUAUGAACUGGUGCAGUCAAUUUCUCACCUUCUGGAGAACCGCGAUGUCCUUAAUUGGAUGCCGCGGGGAACCAGGACCUUUACUUUGAAAAAAUUAGAGUGUUUAAAGCAGGCAUUUUUGCUUGAAUACAUUAGCAUGGAAUAAUAAAAUAGGACGGCAUGGUUCUAUUUUGUUGGUUUCUAGGACCACCGUAAUGAUUAAUAGGGAUAGUUGGGGGCAUUAGUAUUCAAUUGUCAGAGGUGAAAUUCUUGGAUUUAUUGAAGACUAACUACUGCGAAAGCAUUUGCCAAGGAUGUUUUCAUUAAUCAAGAACGAAAGUUAGGGGAUCGAAGACGAUCAGAUACCGUCGUAGUCUUAACCAUAAACUAUGCCGACUAGGAAUCAGACGAUGUUAAUUUUUUAAUGACUCGUUUGGCACCUUACG
rnacentral:misc_RNA from 1 species